UACCCGCGGACGGUUUAGCAAUGGAUGAAGAAGAUUAAGUGGUACUUUCUCUGAUUCUUCCGCGAGAUGGAGACGUCUACAUAAUUUUGGGGGUUUCUCUUUAAAUCUUCUUUGGAUGUUAAUUAGGUUUUUUCUCUGAUUAAGUGGUACCUUCUCUUUGGUUUGUAGGGAUUCGUCGAUUGAAGGAAAGCUUGGGUUUUUGAUACAGCGGGUUGCAAACAAAUUCAGUUUAGGGUGUAGAUUUUUUUUUUUUUAGAUUAUUUUUUUUUCUAUCAGUAUGAUCAAUUUGUUUUGCUUAUUUUAUGUUUUAGUAUUAUCUUCGUGUUUUGAUUUCUUUUACUGUUUUUCGUGUUUUGAUUUGUUUUACUGUUUUUUUUUUCUUUUAAGAUUUGAAGAAGGGGUUUUGUGUUUGUGUUGUAGGGAUUCGUCGAUUGAAGGAAAGCUUGGAUUUUUGAUACAGUGGAUUGCAAACAGAUUCAAUUUAGGGUUUACAUCCAUUGAAGUAAAGCAUAAUCACAGAGAUGAUGAGGAGGAAUAGAAGAAAAAGAUUCUGCAAGGCAUGGGAAGAAAGUGAAAUGACAAAAGCAUAGAACAAGCGUAUGGGACUGUAAUUUUACCCUGUUAUUCGUCUAAUCACAUAGCUUUCCAUAUUAUUACUGAAGGGCGUUGGAAAAGAUGUCCUCCCAAGAAAGCUACUAUUGAAAUGGAGUUCAAUGAAAAUAGCUGAGAGAAAAAAAAAUUAUGAAACAAAUGUACGAAUUGUCUCCCCCUAGCAAAGUUUUCUUUCAUAUUACAUCACUAUACUACCAAUGUUAUUACUGCUUCAAAAGGGUGUGAGUUAUUCCUGUCUUUAAAACUUGCAAUUUUCAGCAAUUGUCAUUUGUAUAUCUGGGCCAGCUAAAAGACACUAUACUACCAAUGUUGUCAUUUCCAGGUGUUGUCAGUGUUAAUUCAUACCUUCCCACAUAUCGGUUAGUUUUCAGCUUUAUUUUUUUGGUUAAAUAUCUUGGAUUCAUGAUUCUAGGGUUAUAUAAAUUAUUGAAGUUCAAAAUAUCAAUAUGAUGCAAGAAUUAUAGGUCAAGAUACCUAUCUGAUGCAAGAAAUAAUGCAUCUUCUCCUCUUUCUGAGGUUCUUAAUUGAACAUUGAAUGCUGGCCGGUGAUAGAAUACCAGCAACUUUAGCUUCCAAUGUUUUGAAUUUUUUGAAUUGCCUGUAAUUUCAAACAACUAUGCCAAUGACUUAUUUUAUGAGCCUAUACAGGUGGAAUUGUUGCUUAGUGAAAGGAUUAUUGUGAAUGGUAUUUAACUCUUAACUUCACCUCAUUGAUUUUUCUCAAAUCUUAAAAAUAGUUAUUUCACGGUAGAGUUCAGUUGAUAGCUUAAAUGACAAGGUUUACAGUUUUGAAGUAUAUAAUUGCAGUCAUAACUUAGCUUGGCCGUUAAAGGGUUAGAUGGAUUAGGAUAGCUAAUCGAGUACAAUAUUUACUGAAUGACGAUGGUCUGCAAAAGCUAAUUACAGGUGCGAUCUUGCUGGAUGAAGGAACUUGGCUGCUCGGUCUUCAUCUAGCUCCCAAAAUUUUGAGAGUGGAUACUCUAAAUCACGAGGAGAACUGGUCUAGCUUAUGGCGAAGUAUUCUGUAUCAACAUGUCAGUUUCCAUCUCUUUUCUCAAUUUGCUACAUGCUGAUUAUUUGUAUUUUAGGUUUGUGGACCGGUCAAUUUUGAUAUGGUAAUGGUGCAUACGGUCAUGUACUUCAGGUUUGUCUAAGCAUAGUCAAAUUUGAUGUCCGAUCUCUUCCAUGAGGUGUCUAAUAAAAGAGAUGCGGAAAAUAAUUAAUGGAAAAAUGUUUGUUUUAUGUGUCUUAAUUUAUCCAUUGAGUAAUUUCUCCCGUGAUGUAAUCAGAAAAAAAGUACAAUUGUAUGAUUAUGUAGAUUGACACUUCAAUUAUAAUAAUGCGUAUUUGAUAUACUUUUCUUUA